CCCGCUGAACUUAAGCAUAUCAAUAAGCGGAGGAAAAGAAACUAACAAGGAUUCCCCUAGUAACUGCGAGUGAAGCGGGAAAAGCUCAAAUUUAAAAUCUGGUGGUCUUUGGCCAUUCGAGUUGUAAUUUAGAGAAGCGUCUUCCGCGCUGGACCCGUGCACAAGUCUCCUGGAAUGGAGCGUCAUAGAGGGUGAGAAUCCCGUCUUUGGCAUGGACACACCAGGGCUUUUGUGAUGCGCUCUCGAAGAGUCGAGUUGUUUGGGAAUGCAGCUCAAAAUGGGUGGUGAACUCCAUCUAAAGCUAAAUAUUGGCGAGAGACCGAUAGCGAACAAGUACCGUGAGGGAAAGAUGAAAAGCACUUUGGAAAGAGAGUGAAACAGUACGUGAAAUUGUUGAAAGGGAAACGCUUGAAGUCAGUCACGUCGACCGAGACUCAGCCUUGCCUCGGCUUGGUGUACUUCUCGGCUGACGGGUCAGCAUCAAUUUUGCCCCUUGGAUAAUGGCGAGGGAAAUGUGACACCUUUAUGGUGUGUUAUAGUCUCUCGUCGCAUGCAAGGGUCGGGAUUGAGGAACUCAGCACGCGCCUUUGGGUGUCGGGGUCUUUGCCCACGAUACGUGCUUAGGAUGUUGGCAUAAUGGCUUUAAACGACCCGUCUUGAAACACGG
rnacentral:rRNA from 1 species